CACAGAAACACGCACGCUCACCUCCCGCAGUCUUCUAGCUGCUAGGCGCGCCUGCUCCACCGAUUUGCCACGUGAAUGUCUUAAAUCUUCAACCAAUGUCCAAUUUGGCAGUGCAGAGUCGUUGUGUUCAAACUAUCGACACUGACGAAUUCAGCUUAGCAACACAAACCAGACUACUCUAGUUAAACCAGUUACCAUCAUUCUUUACGCCUUCAUUUUUUUUGUGCCCAAAAGUAAAUAUUCUCGACUGUUCAUCUUCAAGGAAACGAUUGUCCUCUGCUGACGGCGAUGGCUGCCCCAGAUGAUGUAGACACAUCGCCUCAAUGAUGUUUGUUCGCAACUCAAUCACUCCCGUCUUAUGGCCCCUUCAUUGUCAAACUACGGUGAAUCAAACCGUCUCCACCCAAUCCAAAUCGAGGUUCUGAAUCAACAAUGCCGGAAAUGAGAUUAACUUCGAAAUUUAAUCACAAAUUUCUACUUUAAUCGGUGGUUGCAAUAUGAAAUACCUUUUAAUACAAAACAUGACCACUUAGAAAUAAGAA